rnacentral:rRNA from 1 species
CGUGUAGGCGGUCGGUCAAGUCCGGUGUGAAAGCCCGGGGCUCAGCUCCGGAAGUGCAUCGGAAACUAGCCGACUAGAGCGCGAUAGAGGAGGGUGGAAUUCCUGGUGUAGCGGUGAAAUGCGUAGAUAUCAGGAGGAACACCGGCGGCGAAGGCGGCCCUCUGGAUCGUUGCUGACGCUGAGACGCGAAAGCGUGGGGAGCAAACAGGAUUAGAUACCCUGGUAGUCCACGCUGUAAACGAUGGGUACUAGGUGUUCGGGGUGUUGACCCCCUGAGUGCCGACGCUAACGCAUUAAGUACCCCGCCUGGGGACUACGGCCGCAAGGCUAAA